GAUAAAGAAGAGCAUGUUGUAGGUCUGAAUUGCAUAGCUUCAGCAAUUUACGAUGAUGUCGGUAGUGUUGUUGCCGCUAUCUCCAUCUCCGGGCCUUCAUCAAGACUGACAGAAGAUCGUUUUGUCAGUCAGGGUGAGCUGGUCAGAGACACCGCCCGCGAUAUCAGCACGGCGUUGGGACUGAAAGCACAUCCAUAAUGUCUGUCGCAUCCCGCUCUGCGGAGCGGGUUUUUUU
rnacentral:sRNA from 1 species